rnacentral:rRNA from 1 species
AGAGUUUGAUCCUGGCUCAGGACGAACGCUGGCGGCGUGCUUAACACAUGCAAGUCAAGCGAUGAAGCUCCUUCGGGAGUGGAUUAGCGGCGGACGGGUGAGUAACACGUGGGUAACCUGCCUCAUAGAGGGGAAUAGCCUUCCGAAAGGAAGAUUAAUACCGCAUAAGAUUGUAGUUCCGCAUGGGACAGCAAUUAAAGGAGUAAUCCGCUAUGAGAUGGACCCGCGUCGCAUUAGCUAGUUGGUGAGGUAACGGCUCACCAAGGCGACGAUGCGUAGCCGACCUGAGAGGGUGAUCGGCCACAUUGGGACUGAGACACGGCCCAGACUCCUACGGGAGGCAGCAGUGGGGAAUAUUGCACAAUGGGGGAAACCCUGAUGCAGCAACGCCGCGUGAGUGAUGACGGUCUUCGGAUUGUAAAACUCUGUCUUUGGGGACGAUAAUGACGGUACCCAAGGAGGAAGCCACGGCUAACUACGUGCCAGCAGCCGCGGUAAU